CUUCCCCAAUCUAGCAAUGCAGGCAAACAUUCAGAUUCAGGAAAUACAGAGAACGCCACAGAGCUACUCCUCAAGAAGAGCAAUUCCAAGACACAUAAUUGUCAGAUUCACUAAAGUUGAAAUGAAGGAAAAAAUGUUAAGGACAGCCAGAGAGAAAGGUCGGGUUACCCACAAAGGGAAGCCCAUCAGACUAAUGACAGAUCUCUUGGCAGAAACUCUACAAGCCAGAAGAGAGUGGGGGCCAAUAUUCAACAUUCUUAAAGAAAAGAAUUUUCAACCCAGAAUUUCAUAUCCAGCUAAACUAAGCUUCAUAAGUGAAGGAGAAAUAAAAUACUUUACAGAUAAGCACCUUUCCCACCAUCCCACCGUCUUCUCCCAUAGUUCUCUCUUUAGGCUGCUUCCAAGAGGAUAUCUGCAACAACAGGUAUGAAGGUCAUACCCUUUCUAAUCUUUUCCCUGAUUACAUUUAUCCACUGAAAAACUUUAACAAAAAGUAUUUAGGCUGCACUCUUAUUUAGAUGUUUACAUGCAUCAUUUUAAUCACAUGUUUAGGUUUAUUGGAUAUGUUUCCAUUCAAAACCUCUUUAUAAGGCAUCUUAACCAGGGUUAGAAGCAUUCUGCUUUUCUAACACGUUUUCCACAUUUCUAUUUACACACCAGCCAAUUCUAUCUGGAGUUUAGCUCCAUCUUUUAACACUUUGCCAAAGGUAUCACAUAAUAUUCUACAAAUACACAUACAACUGACAUAUUUGUCUCCAGCUUUUUGUACAGCCUCACAUUUGUAAGGCAUGUGAUUUGCUUUCUAGAUUACUGCAGGUAAAAAUUUUACCAAACAUUUUUUCAUCUUCUCAACCUGCGAUAUCAGUUUUCUUACCACUUCCUGUCUGAUUGCUAAACCAAUGCCUCCUAGUUUGGAUUUUA
rnacentral:lncRNA from 1 species